rnacentral:rRNA from 1 species
UUAAAUUGAAGAGUUUGAUCAUGGCUCAGAUUGAACGCUGGCGGCAGGCCUAACACAUGCAAGUCGAGCGGAAACGAGUUAUCUGAACCUUCGGGGGGCGAUAACGGCGUCGAGCGGCGGACGGGUGAGUAAUGCCUAGGAAAUUGCCCUGAUGUGGGGGAUAACCAUUGGAAACGAUGGCUAAUACCGCAUGAUGCCUACGGGCCAAAGAGGGGGACCUUCGG